CUGGCUCAGGAUGAACGCCGGCGGUGUGCCUAAUACAUGCAAGUCGAACGCGUUGGCCCAAUUGAUUGAYGGUGCUUGCACCUGAUUGAUUUUGGUCGCCAACGAGUGGCGGACGGGUGAGUAACACGUAGGUAACCUGCCCAGAAGCGGGGGACAACAUUUGGAAACAGAUGCUAAUACCGCAUAACARCGUUGUUCGCAUGAACAACGCUUAAAAGAUGGCUUCUCGCUAUCRCUUCUGGAUGGACCUGCGGUGCAUUAGCUUGUUGGUGGGGUAAYGGCCUACCAAGGCGAUGAUGCAUAGCCGAGUUGAGAGACUGAUCGGCCACAAUGGGACUGAGACACGGCCCAUACUCCUACGGGAGGCAGCAGUAGGGAAUCUUCCACAAUGGGCGCAAGCCUGAUGGAGCAACACCGCGUGAGUGAAGAAGGGUUUCGGCUCGUAAAGCUCUGUUGUUAAAGAAGAACACGUAUGAGAGUAACUGUUCAUACGUUGACGGUAUUUAACCAGAAAGUCACGGCUAACUACGUGCCAGCAGCCGCGGUAAUACGUAGGUGGCAAGCGUUAUCCGGAUUUAUUGGGCGUAAAGAGAGUGCAGGCGGUUUUCUAAGUCUGAUGUGAAAGCCUUCGGCUUAACCGGAGAAGUGCAUCGGAAACUGGAUAACUUGAGUGCAGAAGAGGGUAGUGGAACUCCAUGUGUAGCGGUGGAAUGCGUAGAUAUAUGGAAGAACACCAGUGGCGAAGGCGGCUACCUGGUCUGCAACUGACGCUGAGACUCGAAAGCAUGGGUAGCGAACAGGAUUAGAUACCCUGGUAGUCCAUGCCGUAAACGAUGAGUGCUAGGUGUUGGAGGGUUUCCGCCCUUCAGUGCCGGAGCUAACGCAUUAAGCACUCCGCCUGGGGAGUACGACCGCAAGGUUGAAACUCAAAGGAAUUGACGGGGGCCCGCACAAGCGGUGGAGCAUGUGGUUUAAUUCGAAGCUACGCGAAGAACCUUACCAGGUCUUGACAUCUUGCGCCAACCCUAGAGAUAGGGCGUUUCCUUCGGGAACGCAAUGACAGGUGGUGCAUGGUCGUCGUCAGCUCGUGUCGUGAGAUGUUGGGUUAAGUCCCGCAACGAGCGCAACCCUUGUUACUAGUUGCCAGCAUUAAGUUGGGCACUCUAGUGAGACUGCCGGUGACAAACCGGAGGAAGGUGGGGACGACGUCAGUAUCAUCAUGCCCCUUAUGACCUGGGCUACACACGUGCUACAAUGGACGGUACAACGAGUCGCGAACUCGCGAGGGCAAGCAAAUCUCUUAAAACCGUUCUCAGUUCGGACUGCAGGCUGCAACUCGCCUGCACGAAGUCGGAAUCGCUAGUAAUCGCGGAUCAGCAUGCCGCGGUGAAUACGUUCCCGGGCCUUGUACACACCGCCCGUCACACCAUGAGAGUUUGUAACACCCAAAGUCGGUGGGGUAACCUUUUAGGAGCCAGCCGCCUAAGGUGGGACAGAUGAUUAGGGUGAAGUCGU
rnacentral:rRNA from 2 species